rnacentral:tRNA from 2 species
UAAAGAAGCAGGUGCAUAACAGGGCUGCUAACUUUGUUAUAAGGAGUUCGAUCUCUUUUUUUUUAU